CAUGCAAGUCGAACGGAAGCAAAGAUUUCGGUUUUUGCUUUAGUGGCGAACGGGUGAGUAACGCGUGAGGAACCUGCCUUUCAGUGGGGGGCAACAGUUGGAAACGACUGCUAAUACCGCAUAAUGCUUUUGAGUGGCAUCACUUAAAAGCCAAAGAUUUAUUGCUGAAAGAUGGCCUCGCGUCUGAUUAGCUAGUUGGUGGGGUAACGGCCCACCAAGGCGACGAUCAGUAGCCGGUCUGAGAGGAUGAACGGCCACAUUGGGACUGAGAUACGGCCCAGACUCCUACGGGAGGCAGCAGUGGGGAAUAUUGGGCAAUGGGGGAAACCCUGACCCAGCAACGCCGCGUGAAGGAAGAAGGCCUUCGGGUUGUAAACUUCUUUUACCAGGGGCGAAAGAAAUGACGGUACCUGGAGAAAAAGCAACGGCUAACUACGUGCCAGCAGCCGCGGUAAUACGUAGGUUGCGAGCGUUGUCCGGAUUUACUGGGUGUAGAGGGCGUGUAGGCGGAGAUGCAAGUUGGGAGUGAAAUCCAUGGGCUCAACCCAUGAACUGCUUCCAAAACUGUAUCCCUUGAGUAUCGGAGAGGCAAGCGGAAUUCCUAGUGUAGCGGUGAAAUGCGUAGAUAUUAGGAGGAACACCAGUGGCGAAGGCGGCUUGCUGGACGACAACUGACGCUGAGGCGCGAAAGCGUGGGGAGCAAACAGGAUUAGAUACCCUGGUAGUCCACGCUGUAAACGAUGAAUACUAGGUGUGG
rnacentral:rRNA from 1 species